CCAGGCUUCCCUCCACAUCUGAGCUAGUGGAGGGGAGGGGCGUGCAGGAGAGAAUACGCUCCGCUAACCAGGCAGCAGGGCUGCUGGUGCUACGGGGGCCAGGUGUGAACCAGUCCUGGACUCCAGGCUGGAAGUGAGCCUGGCUCCCCUUUAUUUAUAUGGAGAACAUUUUACCUGUUUUGUACAUUUUUAAAGGGCUGUCAGGGAAGCCUGGAUGCCCCUCAUAGCCACAUCAGCCGUUGGGGAAGCUCAGGACGUCAGGGAAGGAAGGACGAAGCAGCGAUGGAGGGCUUCAGUGUUGAAGCCAGAUGAUCCUUGGAUUUGCUCAGAUUUGGGUGUUGCUCAGAGGCCAGUGGGGAACAGAUGGGGCCAGGGUGUAGUUCAGAUGCUUCUAGCAGCAGGCUUGGCCCUAGCUUCCAUAUCUGACAGAGGUGAUCAGUACCCUGGGCAUAGGCAAGGUUUCAGCUCUGAGACCUCCUAGGAGCCGAGGGAAGCUGGUGCACCUUGGGAAAGCCCCACUUCCCAUUGUGCCCGGCACUUUUGGUGAUGUUUACUAUGCACAUCUCCGGCGGAGGCUACAGAGCUUCCGGUAGACUUAGUGCUUGGUGGCCCCUAGGAUCUGGGCUUGGGGCACAGGGCCUAGGACCCCAGCGUCUACCAGCUUGUACUCCUCAACCUUGCUGUGUUUUAUGGCUGCUCCUUGCCUAUUGUGACCCUUCUGCCUUUAAGUUCACGUCACUGGAAUUUCUUAGUGACACUCUGGAAAAGAGGCCUCAACCUUAGGGGUGAACACCAAGCCCUCCUUAGGGACUCACUAGACCGAGCUACUUCUAAAGAAGCCAUGGACUAUAUUCUUCCACAAUGCUCCGCCUAUCCCAGUCUGCUCUGGUUAGCCUUUCCCCUGUGGGGAUGUUGUCCCCAAUGGAUGUCCUGUGUGACCACUCCCUGUCCUUGCCUGGUGACACAGCCCUCAGGCACGCUGGUGCUUAACUCUACCUCUUGCCCUCAGGGUCCUGGCUAUAACAGGAGCCAUGACCCCUUGCUGGGGACCUCUUAGUGCACAUUUCCUAAGACCAUCUUUGCCAUGGAUGUUACUAGGGCACUGGUAGACACUGCGCCAGCCUGCAGUUCUGGGAGAUUGGGUUAAUGCCUGUAGUGGGGGACAGGGCUGUGGUUGUGGGAACUGCCUGAUAAGCAGUGGCCCCUGGGACCCUGGCCCAGAGGCUGGAUACAAUCAAGCAUCACCUUCCCCCACCAGUCCUGUUGUUGUUGACAGAGACCUUUUCUCUGGAGUCGCGAAUAGAAUGGUAUAGACUGUGAGGACUUGGAUUGGCCUGCGUGCACACCAUCAACACUACACUUGCUGCUGUGGACUCCACCAUUCCUGGUUCUUUGUUCUUACUUCUUUGUACAGUAAAUGUACUUCAGCAGUGA
rnacentral:lncRNA from 1 species